rnacentral:rRNA from 1 species
AAAGGAAUUGACGGGGGCCCGCACAAGCGGUGGAGCAUGUGGUUUAAUUCGAAGCAACGCGAAGAACCUUACCAAGGCUUGACAUGGAACCGCAAGCCGUAGAAAUACGGCCCUCUUUCGGGACGGUUCACACAGGUGGUGCAUGGUUGUCGUCAGCUCGUGUCGUGAGAUGUUGGGUUAAGUCCCGCAACGAGCGCAACCCUUACGUUCAGUUGCCAGCGCGAGAGGCGGGCACACUGGAGGGACUGCCGUGGACAACACGGAGGAAGGCGGGGAUGACGUCAAAUCAUCAUGCCCCUUAUGUCUUGGGCUACACACGUGCUACAAUGGGGCAUACAGCGUGAAGCAAAGCAGCGAUGCGGAGCGAAACACGAAAAAGCCCCCCAGUUCGGAUUGCAGGCUGCAACCCGCCUGCAUGAAGUUGGAAUCGCUAGUAAUCGCGAAUCAGCAUGUCGCGGUGAAUACGUUCCCGGGCCUUGUACACACCGCCCGU